CCUACGGGGUGCAGCAGUGAGGAAUAUUGGUCAAUGGCCGGAAGGCUGAACCAGCCAUGCCGCGUGAAGGUCAGUGCCCUAUGGGCGUUAAACUUCUUUUGUGCGGGAGCAAUAAUGGUCACGUGUGGCCAGACGAGAGUACCGUACGAAUAAGCAUCGGCUAACUCCGUGCCAGCAGCCGCGGUAAUAAGGGGGAUGCAAGCGUUAUCCGGAUUUAUUGGGUUUAAAGGGUGCGUAGGCUGGGAGGUAAGUCAGCGGGGAAAUGCCCCCGCUCAAAGGGGUGAAGUGCCAUUGAUACUGGCUGGCUGGAGUGCGGAAGCGGUAGGAGGAAUGUGUGGUGUAGCGGUGAAAUGCAUAGAUAUCACACAGAACACCGAUUGCGAAGGCAUCUCACGGAUCCGCGAUUGACGCUGAUGCACGAAAGCGUGGGUAUCAAACAGGAUUAGAUACCCGGGUAGUC
rnacentral:rRNA from 1 species